rnacentral:misc_RNA from 1 species
AGAUUUCAAUAAAGGGUAACGGUGGAAACGUAAGAGGAGACAGCUUCUCUUCGGGUUAUAGCGAACCCAACGACCCAAGGAACGCCAUGGAAGGACAGAAAAGCCAUUCUACUCGUACUGUCUCUGCAAGAGACGCCGAAACGGCACUUUACACGGAGCUUUGGCAUGCCUGUGCCGGCCCCUUGGUCACCGUUCCUCGUGAAGGAGAGCGCGUUUUCUACUUCCCUCAGGGACACAUCGAACA